rnacentral:miRNA from 1 species
GGGAUCUUGUUAAAAUGAAGACUGUGAUUCAGUAGGUCUGGGGUGGAACUUGAGAUUCCGCAUUUUUAACAAGUUC